rnacentral:lncRNA from 1 species
CUGAUGUAGUUUGUAUCUUUGGUCCUUCCCUAAUUUUCUCAAUAUACUCCACUAUUGUCUCAUGACAGAACCUUUUAGAUGAGGAAUUCUCUCACUGUGAACCCCUGUCCUCCACAGAAAAAAUUCAGCAACCUCUUCAAGAAAAAUUGAAGCACUGUUGCGUCAAACUACAUGGCGAUCAGGAAGCAAAAAUUCACCGGAGGCCUUUGGUCUUGAAGCAUUCAGUCUGGUGCUCGCCUCUGCUGGGUAAGUAUGUAGCCUCCUCCUGUCCCUGCUCAUACAGUGCUAGGGGCCUGGGUGGGGGGCA